rnacentral:lncRNA from 1 species
CCCCAAGUUAAUUUCAAGUUCCUCAGAUUUCUAAAACCUCAAAGCAUUUCAACAACUGAGUGUCGUGAAACGACGUCACGUCACGUGUGGUUGUUCCUCAGUAGUGAGUGCUUCAUUCAGAACAGCGGGAAAUGGGCUAGAUGGAGGAAAGCCGGAAAAUCACGACCUCACCUCCUCUGAAGACACAGCACUUCCUGCCAGCUCCCAAAACACCCUUGAAGUGGUGGGCAUCGUGACUCACGGUCAGAGCAUUGUGUCUGGAUUUUCUCCACUCAGUGCAAUGGUCUCAUUUGUGAUUAGGUGAGUCAUUUUGAUUUCAUCGUGGGGCUAGGUGUCAGGGCAUUCCAAACAAAGGCAAUCUGACU